GAUGAACGCUGGCGGUCUGCUUAACACAUGCAAGUCGAACGGAAUCCUUCGGGAUUUAGUGGCGGACGGGUGAGUAACACGUGAGAAUCUGCACUCAGGAUGGGGACAACAGCGGGAAACUGCUGCUAAUACCCAAUGUGCCGAAAGGUAAAAGAUUUAUCGCCUGAGAAUGAGCUCGCGGCCGAUUAGUUAGUUGGUGGGGUAAUGGCCUACCAAGACGGCGAUCGGUAGCUGGUCUGAGAGGAUGAGCAGCCACGCUGGGACUGAGACACGGGCCAGACUCCUACGGGAGGCAGCAGUGGGGAAUUUUCCGCAAUGGGCGCAAGCCUGACGGAGCAAGACCGCGUGGGGGAGGAAGGCUCUUGGGUUGUAAACCCCUUUUCUCAGGGAAGAAGUUCUGACGGUACCUGAGGAAUCAGCCUCGGCUAACUCCGUGCCAGCCGCCGCGGUAAUAC
rnacentral:rRNA from 1 species